CACUCCUGCGGGAGGCAGCAGUGGGGAAUAUUGCACAAUGGGCGCAAGCCUGAUGCAGCCAUGCCGCGUGUAUGAAGAAGGCCUUCGGGUUGUAAAGUACUUUCAGCGGGGAGGAAGGCGAUAAGGUUAAUAACCUUGUCGAUUGACGUUACCCGCAGAAGAAGCACCGGCUAACUCCGUGCCAGCAGCCGCGGUAAUACGGAGGGUGCAAGCGUUAAUCGGAAUUACUGGGCGUAAAGCGCACGCAGGCGGUCUGUCAAGUCGGAUGUGAAAUCCCCGGGCUCAACCUGGGAACUGCAUUCGAAACUGGCAGGCUAGAGUCUUGUAGAGGGGGGUAGAAUUCCAGGUGUAGCGGUGAAAUGCGUAGAGAUCUGGAGGAAUACCGGUGGCGAAGGCGGCCCCCUGGACAAAGACUGACGCUCAGGUGCGAAAGCGUGGGGAGCAAACAGGAUUAGAAACCCCUGUAGUCCCAU
rnacentral:rRNA from 1 species